rnacentral:rRNA from 1 species
AAUCAACGCUGGCGGCGUGCCUCAGACAUGCAAGUCGAACGCGAAACCUUCCUUCGGGAGGGGAGUAGAGUGGCGCACGGGUGAGUAACACGUAGGUAAUCUACCUUUGGGUGGGGAAUAACAGCCGGAAACGGCUGCUAAUACCGCAUAAUGCAGCGGCUCGACAUCGAGACAGUUGUUAAAGCGGGGGAUCGUAAGACCUCGCGCCUAAAGAGGAGCCUGCGGCAGAUUAGCUAGUUGGUAAGGUAACGGCUUACCAAGGCGACGAUCUGUAGCCGGCCUGAGAGGGCGGUCGGCCACACUGACACUGACAUACGGGUCAGACUCCUACGGGAGGCAGCAGUCGGGAAUUUUGGGCAAUGGGCGAAAGCCUGACCCAGCAACGCCGCGUGAAGGAUGAAAUCCCUCGGGAU